GAUCCUGGCUCAGGAUGAACGCUAGCUACAGGCUUAACACAUGCAAGUCGAGGGGCAUCAGGGACUGUGCUUGCACAGUUGCUGGCGACCGGCGCACGGGUGAGUAACGCGUAUCCAACCUUCCCCUAGUAGGGCAUAGCCCGUAGAAAUGCGGAUUAAUACCCUAUGUUCUUCGUCGAGGACAUCUGAAGUGAAGCAAAGAUUUAUCGCUAAGGGAUGGGGAUGCGUCUGAUUAGGCAGCAGGCGGGGUAACGGCCCACCUGGCCGACGAUCAGUAGGGUUCUGAGAGGAAGGUCCCCCCACAUUGGAACUGAGACACGGUCCAAACUCCUACGGGAGGCAGCAGUGAGGAAUAUUGGUCAAUGGUCGAGAGACUGAACCAGCCAAGUAGCGUGCAGGAUGACCGGCCCUAGUGGGUUAGUAAACUGUCUUUUAUGGCGGGGAUAAAGUGAGGGACGUGUCCCUUUUUGUAGGUACCGCAUGAAUAAGGACCGGCUAAUUCCGUGCCAGCCGCAGC
rnacentral:rRNA from 1 species